rnacentral:lncRNA from 1 species
UGUUUGUUAUUAUUCCUAAUUUUUUUUUCUUCUUCAGUACAGUCUGCCCAGCAUGAAGUUUUACUGUUCAUCUUAACCAGAAAACUACCAAACAAACCUCAUAGCUUGUCAUUCUUGUCUGCAAUAUUUAAUACAUCUGUGGAAGUAGCACCUCACACCUUGGGCAGUUUCCCUGUGCAGGUGCCCUCGUCCAGCAGGAGGAGCUGCGGGAGCAGCAAAGGCUCAAGCUGCAGCUCUUGGGAUGGACCUGAGCUGGAACAACACCCUUUUCCAGGCCCAGGGUCAGAUUUCUGCACUCCAGGACAAUCUUCUGACAGUCAUCUGACAAUCAUCUGUGCAAUCAUCUGUGCAAUCGUCUAACUCCAUAGAGGAUUACUGAUCUCCAGCUGGAUCCUGACCCUCCAUGAAGUUGGAGCUGAGCAGCACUAGUCUCUGUUUAUGCAUCUGCCACCUCCCAGGUCUCAGAAAGCAAACUGGAGCCAUCAGGCAUCACAGACCGAGAUGGAUGCUGAGAUGCUAACAGCCCAGGGACCACCAGGGCAUGCAGCCAGGUUCCUUUAAAGGAAACUUAUGGUUUUUGCUGGCCUUAUGUUUAGCUGCUUGGAAUCUUGAAUGUAUUAAAGUACAACUUUAGNCUAGAUAAUCUUUGUGGUCCUUUUCAACCCAGGCCAUUGUAUGAUUCUAUGAUUCCAUGAUAUACAAGGUGGAAAAACAGAAACUUAGUUUUGUUUAAAAGAAAAAAAGAGAACAGUACAAUCAUCCUCAUACUUUCAGAAACCCCACAAACAGCUCCAUUCUGCAGCCCCAUCCUACAGGUCAGUGCUGUGAUCAGCAGACCUGACUCAUCAUUCCUUGUGUAUGCAGCUUCAUUUGUCUUCAGGGCUGGUGUCUGGAGUGCACACACGUUCAGCUUCAAGAUAAGAAUUGGCAAGUUCUUACCUUGAUGAUAUCACAUAUCAUUUAAUGUUUAUAACUGUUCUCCCACAAUGCUGAAACUGUUGGCUGGUAGUGUAUAAUGAGAAGCCUUGAGCUCAUUGGUUAUUAAGCAAAAGGUGGCAACGGUGGAUUUUGUUUCUUACGUCAAAAAGGAAGAUAGC